CCUUCCUCAUUCUUUGAUAGCACCUUCCUCUUCUCGAAAGUUCUCACCGCCAUCUCUCUCUAUCUCUCCACCUUCCUCUUCUCGUAGUCGAUCAUCGUCAGCUGCGUUCGAAGAAGUCAUUGCAAUUUUCUUGGAUUACAAAUCUUCCAAGUUGAGCCGAGUUUGCUCAAAUUCCUCACACCACUCCUCACCUGCAGCUCCACACGCUAUGCCACAUCGUCGUUAGCUUAUCAAAUCUGUUGUUGUGGGCAAACUUGGUGCUUUCUGGGGAUUUCAGGGCUGAAAGAGGUCAUGACCGAGGUUAGGUGAGGUCGUGGAUGGAGGAUUUUUAUUGGCUUCGGGCCUAGCUUAACCCAUGAUGGGUGGUUCUAUGUGCACUUAAAAGCGUGGAUAUGGAGGUUGCUACUAUGGUAGGUACUAAGUAUGUGUGAGCUCAGUCUAAUCGCGUGUUUCCUUAUGGAUAUGGAUCACAUGUGAGCUAUUUUCGAUCGUGUAUUUAGUAUUCUACCAUGGUUGGAUUGGUGGAGGUUGUUACUGUGGCAAGUACUAAAUAUGUGUGAGCUCAGUCUGGCCGCGUGUUUCUUUGUGGAUACGAAUCACUUGUCAGCUAUUCUCGGUCAUGUAUUUAGUAUUCUACCAAGGUUGGUUGGAUGAAUGUUGCUAUCAGGUACUAAAUGUAUGUGACUACAAAAGCUUAGUUUGGCUGCAAUUCCUUGAUCAUGUGAGACCUAUUCUCAGCCGUUUAUUUAGGUGUUCUGCUAUGAUAGACCCUCAUAUGGUACAGGAGAGGAGUUCAGAGAGGACAAUUGACGCUUCCCGGCAUAGCAGGGGACUUUACAUCCUUGAUGAUGAUACCUCUAAUAGUAGUAUCUCUAGGACUAGUUUAUUGUCUUCCUAUUUUAACACUUCUAAACAUGACUUUAUGU